CACGUAGGUGGCAAGCGUUGUCCGGAUUUAUUGGGUUUAAAGGGUGCGUAGGCGGCUUUGUAAGUCAGUGGUGAAAUAUGGCAGCUCAACUGUCAAGGUGCCAUUGAUACUGCGGAGCUUGAGUACAGAUGAGGUAGGCGGAAUUGACGGUGUAGCGGUGAAAUGCUUAGAUAUCGUCAAGAACACCUAUAGCGAAGGCAGCUUACUAGGCUGUAACUGACGCUGAGGCACGAAAGUGUGGGGAUCAAACAGG
rnacentral:rRNA from 1 species